rnacentral:rRNA from 1 species
GAUGAACGCUGGCGGCGUGCCUAAUACAUGCAAGUCGAGCGAACAGACGAGGAGCUUGCUCCUCUGACGUUAGCGGCGGACGGGUGAGUAACACGUGGAUAACCUACCUAUAAGACUGGGAUAACUUCGGGAAACCGGAGCUAAUACCGGAUAAUAUAUUGAACCGCAUGGUUCAAUAGUGAAAGACGGUUUUGCUGUCACUUAUAGAUGGAUCCGCGCCGCAUUAGCUAGUUGGUAAGGUAACGGCUUACCAAGGCAACGAUGCGUAGCCGACCUGAGAGCGUGGUCGGCCAGCCUGGAAGUGAGGCUCGGUCCAGACACUUACGGUGGGACGCAGCCGAGAAUCCUACGCAAAGGGGGAGAGCCUGACGGAGCACCGUGGCGUAAGGGCUGAUGGACCUCUGCCCGUAAAGCUAUGUUAUCCGGGGAGAACUAAUGUUCAAGUAACUAUGCACGUAUUGACGGUACCUGGUCAGAAAGCCCCGGCUAACUACGUG